rnacentral:tRNA from 1 species
GCCGGCGCGGAGCAGCUUGAGCGGCUCGUGUAGGUGGGGUCGGCGCGGGCGAAGGCGAUAAUCACGCGGGUGACCGUGGCAUUCCGUCGGCG